GACAACGCUGGCGGCGUGCUUAACACAUGCAAGUCGAACGGGAGUAUUGAAGAAGCUUGCUUUAGAGAUACUUAGUGGCGGACGGGUGAGUAACGCGUGAGGAGCUGUCCUAUGCAGGGGGACAACAGCUGGAAACGGCUGCUAAUACCCCAUAAGCCGAGAGGUAAAAGGAUCAAUCCGGCAGAGGAGGUACUCGCGUCCUAUCAGCUAGUAGGUGAGGUAACGGCUCACCUAGGCGAAGACGGGUAGCCGGCCUGAGAGGGCGAACGGCCACACUGGAACUGAGAUACGGUCCAGACUCCUACGGGAGGCAGCAGUGGGGAAUAUUGGGCAAUGGGGGAAACCCUGACCCAGCGACGCCGCGUGGGUGAAGAAAUCCUUCGGGAUGUAAAGCCCUGUUGUAUGGGAAGAGCGGAAGACGGUACCAUACGAGGAAGCCCCGGCAAACUACGUG
rnacentral:rRNA from 1 species